rnacentral:lncRNA from 1 species
CUCCCUCACCCAAGCCAUGUUAGAACUGAAAUAGGAAAAUCAACCCGUCACAACAUGUUUCAAUUGACUCUCGACUUUGUGGAACAAGCUCGAGGCGGCUAAAGAGCAGUUCGAGGGGAGGGGUCGGAGCUAACGCUUCAACAAUAUCGAGAGUGAUACGAGAGAGGAGAAGGCAACCCGUUUUUGUACUAAUCUUGAAUGAAAACUACUCACAUUUUAGGUCCCAAAUCCUUGCGAUGGAGCCGGCAUCGCCGCUCUGGCGGAUAUUUCAAUUGGCGGUCCAAGAGGAGAAUCAAAGGAUACCUGCGUUUGAACACGCACGAACUGGAGAGGGAAUCACCCUUAUUGCCUUCGGAUCUAGACUGUCUCUGACCGGUGGCUUCUCAACCGAGCUUGCUGCCUUCGGUUCUAGACCACCAUUGGCUGACGACCUCCCACCUGGCUUUGGUCCGACGGGUCAGCAUCUCUAUUCCCAUGGAGAGGCAGCCUGAUGAGUUGCUGCCACUGCUGCUUCUGCUACUUCU